AACUUAACUUACAAAUUCCCAAAUCCAUAUUUACUAAGUCUGCAACCUGCCUGGUUGAGCAGCAACGGGGAAGGAGGAAAAGCAGCGUCGAUGUUGCCGAGCUAGAGCGAGGAUCCAGAGAAGCCUACGGGCUCUGACGGCUAACCGCCUGAGAUACCGCAACGGAAAAAGAAGGUCGUUCCAGAUUGCAGUUCAAUGGGAGUCAAGAGAUCUGGUGGGCACAUAUAGCUAGGAUUCGCAGAUCUAAAAAUUUGAAUUUUCAUAUCUUCCUUCUCAGUGAUCAUUAGAUCAACAAUGGUGACAAGCUUUCUGCACUUCCAUCCCCAAGGACCAACGGGACGCUGCCUUUGUAUUCAAUCUAUAGUGGCCUUGUCUAUGAUACUGGAAUUUACCUUCCAAUGUAGGGGCCUGGGUGCCCCGUUAUAGGAGCCGAAUCUCUGCAGUCGUAGCUUUGUGCUUCGUUAACACUUUGAAUUGGUUUGUGAUUUAUAAAGUCAGGGCCUUGAUGUCCCGUUAUAGAAACCGAGUCUCCACAGUGGUAGCCUUAUGCUUCGUCAAUAAGUUGAAUCCCUUCGUGAUUUACCAAAUUGGGGCAUUGGUGCCCAAAUAUAAGAGCCGAAUGAACCAUUUGGUGAACUACAAUGCAUAAAAUUGGUUUAAUUUAUUUUCAAACACUAUAUAUGAUCACUGGUUCUCUUAUGUUCUUAUUUUAUAAAAUGUUAG
rnacentral:lncRNA from 1 species